rnacentral:lncRNA from 10 species
UAUUUAAUCGUCUCCCCGGGGAGAUUCGUUCUCAUUUUUCUACUGCUCGUGGUAAGUGGCUUCGUGGUCUUUAUAGCUGUUACUCUUUUGUACUUUGUCUUUUUCUUUUAUUUUCUUUUGAGCGAUUGUGCGAACAUAGCAUAGCACGCACUAUGCCUUCUGUGUUGUAGCUGCCUGGCCAGGGCGACUGGCGGAUAAGGUCUUGUGCGUGGCCUCGAGGCUUAAAAGUAGCAGUGGGGCUUUGUGAAGGACAAAAUGGCGAUGGCGGGCCGUGUAGGUCCCCCUUCCUAUGAUGAGGACCUUUUCACAGACCUGUACUGAGCUCCGUGAGGAUAAAUAACUCUGAGGAGAUGGGCCCUGCAAGCCUCUUGCUUAGCCGUCUGUUCAGAAAAUAGCGUUUUCGAAAUGCCCUGAGUUGACCUAAUGUCUUAUUGGGCUCCUGUCUGCAGGAUUUACGCGCACGUUGGAACCGAAGAGAGCUCUGUUGUUGCAGUAAGUUCUUACGGCCAUUUCUUAAUCUCUGCUCUUUCGUUGAGUGUGUGGAAGUUGCUACGGGGAUGAUUUUACGAACUGAACUCUCUCUUUCUGAUGGAUUAGUGGAGAAAACAGAAAAUUCUGAGUAGCACUGUACUGUACGCAACAAAUGUCAGGGCCCUAUUGAUUUGUCUGAGGUGUUAGUGAAGGGUGUUAUUUUUUCAGAUGUUCAGCCCACAAGAGCUUACUGGUGAAGGAAUGGGACAAGACCCAUCUUUAUGCAAAGCCAGCGUUACAGUAAUGUUCCAGGUAGGUGUACAUGGUUUAUGCUCUUACAGAGGAGACCUUGUAGAUAACCACUCCAUGAUGAACACAAAAUGACAAGCAUAUGGCUGAACUUUCAAGUGAUGUCAUCUUACUACUGAGAAGUGAGAGAGAGGUCUUAAGGGGUCUUUGAAUGACUAUUUUUAGGUACAUAAAAUGCUUUCCUCUGUUGUCUACAGCAUCUCAUAAUCUAUCCUGGGGAAUUCAGCUGCCUCCCAGGGUGAAUACAGGUAAUUAUCCAAAUUGGUGUAUGUCAUCUUUGUAAAUGUUCAAGAAAACAAGUGGCCGGCGGAACAAUGUUUUUUGGCGCCUUCCAUCUUGUUCCUCUUGAAAUGAUUUUCUGGGGAGGGAGAUCGCAACCCGGUACUACAGUUCUUGUAAGGGUGUGCUGUUACCCUCAUCCAUAUAUCGAUCACGUUACUGUCAGAUGAUUUGAAUUGAUAAGCUGAUGUUCUGUGAGGUACAAAAGUUAAUAGCAUGUUAGAGUUCUGAUGGCAGUUGUUGUUUAUGAAUAAGCUUCAUUCCAUCCUAAUACCUUAAAAUAACUAAUUUGCUUUCCUUUCCAGGUAUUCCUGAUGACAGUCUGCCUCUAUCUUACAGUAAGUUGUUUUUCGAAUUCUAUGGGCCUAUUAUCUAAUAGAUAACUUAGCCAUUUUGAUAUUUGUUACCAAAGCCUGCUUAACCCAUAAAGUUUUCUGGUUCCUCUUGUUCUCUGUAGUGAUGUUUCUAGAUAGAUGCCCACUGAUAUAUGCCCCUUUUUUCUCAGAUAGAUGCCCACUGAUCUGCCCAGGGUCAGACGAAUGCUUGUCAGUUGUAGCUUUCCAGGAUUCUGCUCCAAUGAGGAGGAAACAUCCUGCCUUACCCCUGUUUUAGCCUGGGAACCAGUAAUUGUGAACUCACCAGGGUUAACAUGAAGAGGGCAUGAGAGCUUAUUCCAUAAGGAAUUGUCUGAGACAUUUGGUUACCUUUUCUUAGUUUGUCCAUUAGCAACCGUAACUAAAAUAGUUUUGGCUGUUUGGGAUAAUUAGCUAAUUGAAUGAUUUUUUGAUUCAGGAGCAGCUUGUUGCUAUAUACCAUUGAAAAGCCUUCAGAGCUGAGAGGUUAGUUGAUAUUUUUUGUUCCUUACAGCUUAUGCCACCAAGUAGGCAGUUUCUAUGAUGAAUCAAACUAGCUCACUAUGACCGACAGUGAAAAUACAUGAACACCUGAGAAACUGGAGAACGCAGGGAGUGGGGGGUAACCAUGUCUGAGGAAUCUUUCACCCACAGCUUUGUUUUUCUCUAGGUACUACUAACCAAUAACCUGCUUGGCUCAAAAUGACUUGCUGUUGAGACUCUGAAAUCUGAUUUUCUGAGAAUGAUGGGUGGGAACAACAUAAUGCGGGAUAUGAGAAGCACUACUGACUUGGUCUUCCUCCUUUCAGGGCCAGCACCUUCUCUCUAAAGCCCAAGAGGAGUUUGAGGUAAAUGGCUUUGCAAUAGUUACCAUCAAUGGCUGCUAUAUAAAAUUUUCUGUGAUUUUUGUGUGUGAUAGCACUGUGGUCUGGGUGAAUGUACACAGACAUAACUGGCUUAACCCAAAGUCUUUGAUCUCCUGAACCACCAGUGAUGAAUUGCUGCUCACCAGUGAUGAGUUGAAUACCGCCCCAGUCUGAUCAAUGUGUGACUGAAAGGUAUUUUCUGAGCUGUGAGCCUGCCUUCCAGUGACAUGUUCUAAAAAUUGCAAGUUAUUUGAGGAGGCUUUACAGCCAAUAGGAAGUUCUUGGGCUAAGUAGUGUUUCCUAUAAAAUGUGCCCUGAAACUUCUUUCUGCCAAGCAAUAGAUACAAUUGAGAGAUUGUAAAAUGUGACAUAGAAUGAAAGUCUCUCAAGACUACAUUUUUCUUUCUUGAUUUUGCAGGAAAACUAGGUGUCUGUGUUCACUCCAGGCUGAAGUUACAGGUGAGUAAACCUAAAUGUAAGGUGGACUAUGCUAAAAAUUCCCAAUGAAGAAACUUUCACAUGUCUUACUCUCUGUCCUAGUCCCAGAGCCUGUAAAGGUGAACCCACUGGGACUGGCUGGGGGAGAAGAGGAAGAUUUGUUCCAGAAGGAACUGUCUGAGGGAUGAUAAAGAUUUCUAUACAGAGAAAGGGAGUAAUCAUCACUUGUUGAAAACAUUGGUUUUAUUUUUUCCAGGUCUGAGCAAAUAAGGUGUAUAAAAAAUGGUAGGUAUCUGUUUAAAUAUUUAACUGAUUUUAUAAUAGCAACCUUUUGCUCCUAGGUUACGGAAUCUGUCUUGGAGGACAUCAGAAGGUGAAUUUUCCAAGUUCUUGGACAACCUAGCUGUUGAAAAGCUUUCUGGGUUUGGGGGGUAUUUCAGAUGUACCUUAAAGUGUUAGCAGACACAGAUUAAGACACUGGGAGCCAAUGAAACAGCAGUUGAGGGUUUGCUGUGUAUCACAUUUCUGUAUUUUAUCACCCCCUUCCUGCAACAUUAUUUAUCUGGAAUCUACCUGCCCUUUUGUUUUUUAGAUACAAGGGCUUGGUUUUGUUACCCAGGCUGGUUUCAAGGCCAUAGCUUUAAGAGAUCCUCUCACCACAGAUUUCCAAAGUGCUGGGAUUGCAGGUGUGAUUCAUGGCACCCAGACUUUGCUGCCUUUCUUACAUGAUCCAGGCCCAGAACCCAAACUCAGGCACUGUAUAGAUGACCACUUUCGUAAACUACUGACCUAGCUUGUUGCCAAUUGUUGAUUGAACUUCCCAUAACUCCACUUCGUGUCUGUUCCUCUGUAUACAGCCACCUUCUGUUCCCGUCAUGAGCCUUUAGGUCUCCAUUUGCAUAUUGCAAAUACUAUGUUCCAUGUAGGUAGCUCAUUCAGGGCCUUGCUCUUCACUUCAAAAAAGGUUCCCUUGAGGACUGGCUGUCAAUUUGUGUUGCUGUGUUGGUUGUUGAUGAAAAUAAUAAAAUGAUUGAUUACAU